rnacentral:lncRNA from 1 species
UGGCCACCUCCUCGGGUGUAACUUUUUCGUGCUGGAAGUAACCUGUGUUUGCAGCAGGCUGGGUUUAAGAGUAUCUUCCUGUCUUCCAUGCAUUCCAUCGAGGUCAGAGCCAGGGCCUUCUAUGGAAUUCUGUUGGAUGCAGAAAGCACUGGAACUUGAAUCUAUGUUUACACUUUUGUGCAGAAAACACCAGAACAGCUUCCAAUUCUGGAAGGGACAUUUUUGGUUCAGUGAAGCCAGGACUUGCUGCUUUGAUCAUUCAACCUAAGCAGCUGGCUGAGACUGUUCAAGGACUCUGAGAGGUGGCCAAAGACUCAAUCCCCUAAAGUGACUGCAACAGACCCCAGUGGUCCUGAAGGCAACUGAAGGCAAUGAUAGACCUGUGCUUACUGUCAGAAUGGAAGAGCCAGACUCUGUUCUUUGAGGUAAGGGAGAGCUUCAAGAAAUC